UACGUAGGGUGCGAGCGUUGUCCGGAACUAUUGGGCGUAAAGAGCUCGUAGGCGGUUUGUUGCGUCUAUCGUGAAAACCUGCAGCUUAACUGUGGGCUUGCGGUGGAUACGGGCAGACUUGAGUUCGGUAGGGGAGACUGGAAUUCCUGGUGUAGCGGUGAAAUGCGCAGAUAUCAGGAGGAACACCGGUGGCGAAGGCGGGUCUCUGGGCCGAUACUGACGCUGAGGAGCGAAAGCGUGGGGAGCGAACAGG
rnacentral:rRNA from 1 species